UAGCUUAGUUGGUAGCGCGUCUGCCUUGUAAGCGCUAGGCCGCGGGUUCGAUUCCCGC
rfam:Asian citrus Psyllid, Diaphorina citri - Florida Strain, whole genome shotgun sequence.